UAACGCGAAGAACCUUACCAAGGCUUGACAUACACCGGAAACGGCCAGAGAUGGUCGCCCCCUUGUGGUCGGUGUACAGGUGGUGCAUGGUUGUCGUCAGCUCGUGUCGUGAGAUGUUGGGUUAAGUCCCGCAACGAGCGCAACCCUCGUUUUAUGUUGCCAGCGCGUUAUGGCGGGGACUCAUAGGAGACUGCCGGGGUCAACUCGGAGGAAGGUGGGGAUGACGUCAAAUCAUCAUGCCCCUUAUAUCUUGGGCUUCACGCAUGCUACAAUGGCCGGUACAAAGGGCUGCGAUACCGUAAGGUGGAGCGAAUCCCAAAAAGCCGGUCUCAGUUCGGAUUGAGGUCUGCAACUCGACCUCAUGAAGUCGGAGUCGCUAGUAAUCGCAGAUCAGCA
rnacentral:rRNA from 1 species